GAAAUGCGAUAAGUAAUGUGAAUUGCAGAAUUCCGUGAAUCAUCGAAUCUUUGAACGCACAUUGCGCCCUCUGGUAUUCCGGGGGGCAUGCCUGUCCGAGCGUCAUUGCGAACCCCUCAAGCACGGCUUGUGUGAUGGGCCCUCCCGCGUCUUGGUCGUCAAGACGGGCCCGAAAUGCAGUGGCGGCUUCGCGGUUAUCCGAUCAGCCAGAGCGUAUGGGGACUUUCUCUCUGUCACACGCCCGCGGCGCGGACCGACGCCUGUCGACCUUUAUUCAUCUUUUUCUCGGUUGACCUCGGAUCAGGUAGGGAUACCCGUUGAACUUAAGC
rnacentral:misc_RNA from 1 species